UGGGGAAUAUUGGACAAUGGGGGGAACCCUGAUCCAGCCAUGCCGCGUGUGUGAAGAAGGCCUUAUGGUUGUAAAGCACUUUAAGCGAGGAGGAGGCUACUGAGACUAAUACUCUUGGAUAGUGGACGUUACUCGCAGAAUAAGCACCGGCUAACUCUGUGCCAGCAGCCGCGGUAAUACAGAGGGUGCGAGCGUUAAUCGGAUUUACUGGGCGUAAAGCGUGCGUAGGCGGCUUUUUAAGUCGGAUGUGAAAUCCCCGAGNUUAACUUGGGAAUUGCAUUCGAUACUGGGAAGCUAGAGUAUGGGAGAGGAUGGUAGAAUUCCAGGUGUAGCGGUGAAAUGCGUAGAGAUCUGGAGGAAUACCGAUGGCGAAGGCAGCCAUCUGGCCUAAUACUGACGCUGAGGUACGAAAAGCAUGGGGAGCAAAACAGGAUUAGAUACCCUGGUAGUCCAUGCCGUAAACGAUGUCUACUAGCCGUUGGGGCCUUUGAGGCUUUAGUGGCGCAGCUAAACGCGAUAAGUAGACCGCCUGGGGAGU
rnacentral:rRNA from 1 species